AGAGAAUAGAUACCCGGGUAGUCCACGCCGUAAACUAUGGACGCUAGCUGUUAGAAGUAUCGACCCUUCUAGUAGCGAAAGCUAAACGCGUUAAGCGUCCCGCCUGUGGGAGUACGAGCGCAAGCUUAAAACAUAAAGGAAUUGGACGGGGACCCGCACAAGCGGUGGAGCGUGUUGUUUAAAUUUACGAUGCUAAGCGAAGAACCUUACCCAGGUUUGACAUCCUGCUAAUUUCUUCCGAAAGGAGAGAGUGCCUUCGGGUCCGGCAGUGACAGGUGUUGCAUGGCCGUCGUCAGCUCGUGUCGUGAGAUGUUUGGUUAAAGUCCAUCAACGAGCGCAACCCUUUUGUUUAGUUGUAUUUCUC
rnacentral:rRNA from 1 species